GACGUAGGAGGCGAGCGUUGUCCGGAUUCAUUGGGCGUAAAGAGCGCGCAGGCGGCUUGGUAAGUCGGAUGUGAAAUCCCGAGGCUCAACCUCGGGUCUGCAUCCGAUACUGCCCGGCUAGAGGUAGGUAGGGGAGAUCGGAAUUCCUGGUGUAGCGGUGAAAUGCGCAGAUAUCAGGAGGAACACCGGUGGCGAAGGCGGAUCUCUGGGCCUUACCUGACGCUCAGGCGCGAAAGCCAGGGGAGCGAACGGG
rnacentral:rRNA from 1 species